rnacentral:tRNA from 1 species
GGGGACAGAGCUGAGUUGGUACAGCACUUCCCUGCGUGCAUGAGGCCCCGGGUUCGAUCCCCAGCCCCC